UACGUAGGGGGCAAGCGUUGUCCGGAUUCAUUGGGCGUAAAGAGCGUGUAGGCGGCCAGGUAGGUCGGUUGUGAAAACUGGAGGCUCAACCUUCAGACGUCGAACCGAAACCAUCUGGCUAGAGUCCGGGAGAGGAGAGUGGAAUUCCUGGUGUAGCGGUGAAAUGCGCGAGAUAGUCAGGAAGAACACCCGUGGCGAAAGCGGCUCUCUGGAACGGUACUGACGCUGAGACGCGAAAGCGUGGGAGCGAACAGG
rnacentral:rRNA from 1 species